UACGGGGGGGGGCAAGCGUUGUUCGGAAUUACUGGGCGUAAAGGGCUCGUAGGCGGCCAACUAAGUCGGAUGUGAAAUCCCCAGGCUUAACCUGGGAACUGCAUCCGAUACUGGAUGACUUGAAUCCGGGAGAGGGAUGCAGAAUUCCAGGUGUAGCGGUGAAAUGCGUAGAUAUCGUGAGGAACACCAGAGGCGAAGGCGGCUACCUGGACAAUUGCUGACGCUCAGGCACGAAAGCGUGGGGAGCAAAAGGG
rnacentral:rRNA from 1 species